CGAGUGGGAGAGUGGCUUAGGAUCUCAUGAUGCAACAGUAGAGAGAAGUUGUUGUCUCACCUCACCUCUCAACCAUCUCCAAAAUAACCGGUCAGAGUAGCAGUACUUGAGCAUCCAUCCAUCCACGCAUCUAGACAGUUUCCCAGAUCUGGACCCCGGUGAGAAAAGGGAACUAAUCGGACUUCUUUUUCUGAAAUUCCAGCUUGGAAUUGCCUUCGGAAGACAUCCUCAAUCCUGCCCCAGCCUUACGAUUGUUUUGUGUCAUUAGAUGAAGUCACUUCACUUCUGAAGCUCACUUGCCUUUUCUAAAAACCGGAGGCUGAUAAGGAUUGCAGGAAACUCAUGGAGUUGUUCCGAGGUUAAAAUGAGAGUCUGCCUGUGGAAGGACAUUGCAGAUGAUAGAAGACACAGAUGUAAGGCAUCUACCUUAUCUUUACCAGUUUCAUCUUCUUCAUCUUCAUCUCAUUACCAUGGUCAUCCUCGUUAGCAGGGAAGAGCAGGAGUUCUCACGGCAGGAUAGGCUUCGCGGCUGUGCUGGGAAAUGCCUGUCUGAAGUAGGCCACACAUGGGCUGUGUGGAGAGCUGCACAAUAGAAUGGAAAAGAGCACUGAAUCAGGAGUAAAAAGAGCUGGGUGUUGACUUGGUACAUCCACAAACUAGCUGUGUAACCUUGUGGAUGCCGUGAAUGUCUCUGUGCUUCAGCCUCCUCGCCUGCAAGAAGUAUGGCAGAUUCACAUCUUGAAUUAUAUGGUGCCCAACCGUAUUAGUGAUUCUGAUUCCCUGGUGAAUAUGGCAACCAGUGAAUUGGGAAGUGGGGGUGAGUAUCAGCUAAAGAAAUGAAAGCACCAGCCUGGCAGGUAAACAGUUCACAGUCCCCCAGAGAUGGCACAGAAGGGCUGUAGUACUAGGGGAUGGGAGACUUGGCAUCUUAGACAAGUCACUGUUCCUGUCUUGGCCUUGGAAUUUUGAUCUGGAAAAUGGGGAUGGGGAAUUGUGGAUGACUAAAGAUUUCUGAGCUGCCUUCCAGCUCUGCUGUUCUGUGAUGGCCCAUGUGAGUCACAGGUAGGUGCUUCUGUGGUGGCCGGCUGGCCGUUUAUCUGGUGGCCUCCCCUCCUCCCUCCCUGCGGGUGGCCCCUCUCCCACACCCUUUCUAACACACUGGGCAUAACUGCUUUACAGCAUCCAUCUGGCUGCUCUUGGUGUGUCUCUGUGUGAGCAACUUCAGAACAAGACUUCUCAACUUUUAAAAAAAGCCUGAUUAAAAAAUUCUCUGUUGAUUAUUAAACAUGCUCAUUGUAGGGAAAAACAAAAUUCAUAAAGCAGAUAAAGAAUUCUAAUAAAUCUGAGACAUCUACUGUUAGCAUUUUGUUAUCUUUUCUUUUAGUCUCUUCUCU
rnacentral:lncRNA from 10 species